UACGUAGGGGGCGAGCGUUUGUCCGGAAUUAUUGGGCGUAAAGCGCGCGCAGGCGGCUUCUUAAGUCUGAUGUGAAAGCCCGCGGCUCAACCGCGGAGGGUCAUUGGAAACUGGGAGGCUUGAGGACAGAAGAGGAGAGUGGAAUUCCACGUGUAGCGGUGAAAUGCGUAGAUAUGUGGAGGAACACCAGUGGCGAAAGCGGCUCUCUGGUCUGUAACUGACGCUGAGGCGCGAAAGCGUGGGGAGCAAACAGGAUUGAGAAACCCG
rnacentral:rRNA from 1 species